GACGAACGCUGGCGGCGUGCUUAACACAUGCAAGUCGAACGGAAAGGCCCUGCUUUUGUGGGGUGCUCGAGUGGCGAACGGGUGAGUAACACGUGAGUAACCUGCCCUUGACUUUGGGAUAACUUCAGGAAACUGGGGCUAAUACCGGAUAGUAGCUCCUUCUGCAUGGUUGUGUUUGGAAAGUUUCGGCGGUUGGGGAUGGACUCGCGGCUUAUCGGCUUGUUGGUGGGGUAGUGGCUUACCAAGGCUUUGACGGGUAGCCGGCCUGAGAGGGUGACCGGCCACCUUGGGAAUGAGAUAAGGCCCAGAAUCCUACGGGAGGCAGCAGUGGGGAAUAUUGCACAAUGGGAGGAAGACUGAUGCAGCAACGCCGCGUGCGGGAUGACGGCCUUCGCGUUGUAAACCGCUUUCGCCUGUGACGAAGAGUGAGUGACGGUAAUGGGUAAAGAAGCACCGGCUAACUACGUG
rnacentral:rRNA from 1 species